rnacentral:rRNA from 1 species
UACGGAGGGUGCAAGCGUUAAUCGGAAUUACUGGGCGUAAAGCGCACGUAGGUGGUUUUCUAAGUCAGCUGUGAAAUCCCCGGGCUCAACCUGGGACUUGCAGUUGAAACUGGGAAGCUAGAGUAGGGUAGAGGGGUGUGGAAUUCCAGGGUGAGCGGUGAAAUGCGUAGAUAUCUGGAGGAACAUCAGUGGCGAAGGCGACACCCUGGACUCAUACUGACA